AAGGAUCAUUAUUGAAAUAAACCUGAUAAGUUGCUGCUGGUUCUCUAGGGAGCAUGUGCACACUUGUCAUCUUUGUAUCUUCACCUGUGCACCUUUUGUAGACCUGACUAUCUCUCUGACUGCUUUUAGCACUCAGGAUUGAGGAUUGACUUUCUGUCUCUUCUUACAUUUUCAGGUCUAUGUUUAUUCAUAUACCCUAAUGCAUGUUUAUAGAAUGUAAUCAAUGGGCCUUUGUGCCUAUAAAUUUAUACAACUUUCAGCAACGGAUCUCUUGGCUCUC
rnacentral:misc_RNA from 1 species